rnacentral:lncRNA from 1 species
UCAUUUGGAACUUGUUCAAAGUAUGUAUGAGCAUUUAAAUGAUGUUCAAGACCAUCUUAUUCGAAAUCAAGCAUUAGAGUGAGUGAAACCAAGUGGGAAAAAUGGAUCUGGACUUCAAAAAUUAAAAAGGGGAUAUUUAUCUGUUUGAGCCUUUGACUUGAUAAUAAGACAACAUCACUACUAAGAGUUAUUGCCUUAGAGUAGUGUAUCUUAACCUGGUGGGCAUUCCUCACUGGCGGGGAAUGGUUGAGUUGUCAAGUGGGGAAAGAAUGGUGGGACAGAAGAACCACUGCUUCAAAAUUUCAUUUCACAACCAUUUACAGACUUUUAUAAUGACAAAAACAACCUAUCUAUGAAGUUUUUUAAGUCAUAUUUGGAUAAAAUUGACAACACUGUUGGCUUAUAAAUGUCAAAAGCGGCUCCCCUCUAACUCACUUGUGUCGCGUCUCUCCAUGGUGUAACUGUAUGUGUGUUGUGAUGAUAUUGUCUUUGGAGGGCCCUAAAAUGCCACAAAAAAACAAAGCCUAUAUUUACGUACUGAACACUGGAUGGGUUAGAAUCGAAUUCGUCAACGACCGAUGCUGUCGUGGGAAUUGGAGAGUUAGCUCACUAAAAAAUAGAAACUGUAGAUAAAAGGUUAAGAACUCCUGCCUUAGAGUAUAACCAACUGCUGUAAACAGAUAUUAUAUAUUCUGGUGAUAGAAGAUGGAUAUACGUGAUGCUGAACUCCAAAGGACGCAUAGUUUUAUUUCUAAUGGCCUUUAAAAAAUACAAUUUAUUUUUUGGGGAGAUACAAUCCAACAAUUCUGAAUAUUCCAUUUCAGUCUACACAUAAUUAUAUAUCUGAAUAUAAGAAAGGAUUUCGAAUUUUAUUGGUACGUAAACCUACAUUUUCGAGUUCAUAUAACUAAUUGAUAUCCUUUAUUGGUCUGGUACUUGUUUUUCAAAUUAUUGGGAUAUAGCUUCAUUCCGAAUUUUUCUUCAGUAUUAGAAUUGAUUAAGUUUGAAAUUUCAACUUUGUGAUCCAUAACCCUGUUGCUGCAUAAAGUAUCGAAGGUAUUACCUCGAUAUGAUAAAGGUCCAUCCUCCUCUUGUGAAGAUUAAAUCCUCUCCACUUACUCAACCUCUGGUUAAACUGGGAACAAACAUGAUUCCAAAUACACAUAUGAAUUCCAUCCCUAUCCCACUCUAGGCCCAGAAUAUUAAUACUUGUUUUUACCCUGCAGGUACUUAAUACAGAGCUCUUGAUUGGGGACCUAUGGUCAUAUGGGGAUAAUCGAUGUAUCCUCUUUGUUCAGCUCCAGGGCAGAUAUAUUUCUAAACUUAGUAAAUUAAUUAAUCAACACUUC